CACGUAGGGCGCAAGCGUUGUCCGGAAUUAUUGGGCGUAAAGAGCUCGUAGGCGGUCUGUUGCGUCCGCUGUGAAAACCCGGGGCUUAACCCCUGGCUUGCAGUGGAUACGGACAGACUAGAGGUAGGUAGGGGAGAAUGGAAUUCCUGGUGUAGCGGUGAAAUGCGCAGAUAUCAGGAGGAACACCGGUGGCGAAGGCGGUUCUCUGGGCAUUACCUGACGCUGAGGAGCGAAAGUGUGGGGAGCGAACAGG
rnacentral:rRNA from 1 species